CGUCAUCGUCAUCGUUGUCGUUGUCGUUGUCGUCAUCGUCGUCGUUGUUAUUGUUGUAGUCGACGUUUAUCGGUGUGUCAAAUGUGAUACUAUGGUGUGUGAACAAAUAAUUGUUUUUAAAGGAUAAUAUAAUAUUUAUACAAAUCUACAUAGAGAAAUAUUAAGAGAGGAACAACAAAAAGAAGAAAAUUAUUUUAUUUAAACUGAAUUAUUUUACAACAUAGUUUAGUCAUCCUUAUCGUCGUCGUCGUGGUUGUUGUUGUUAAUCGUUAAAAUACAAUCUCAGCUAAGUAAAGGAGAAGUAUCGUGAAGCUGGAGACUCCUAUUGGUCGAGACGAAGUAGUAGAAGAAGAAGAAGAAGAAGAAGAAGAAGACGACGACGAAGAGAAGGAGAAGAAGAAGAAGGAGAAAGAAGAAGAAGAAGAAGAAGAAGCAAAGGAGAAGGCACGGUCGAAGGCAAAACGGACGAUCCAAAAGGCAUUCCUUAGCAAGCUACUAAGAACACUAUUACGAGGUGUAAAAGUGCGUGCCGGCAAUAUUAUUUUUAUUCAUAUUAUUCCUAUUCUUACGGACUCGACGAUAUAUUUCAACUACGAUCAAAUUGUACUUCCAACGGUGCUGUUAGCUUCGUUUUUGGGUCAGGUCAUGGUAAGGUUUAUCAUGGAACAUACUCGAUUGCGAGUACGACUAAGCGACACUAAAAAUCGAGGGUCAAUUCCCGCUGCGUCGCUUCUCCACGGGUACAUACAUACACAAGAAAACACACCAAGGCAACGGAGUAUAAUACACAACAGACAACGUGCACAAAAACACAUGUAUGCACGGUGCAUAUAUACUUGCAUCCGAGGAUUUUCUCUGGCAUGGCAAACCCACCGAACGUUCACCAACAUGCUCGCGCGGCCUACCUACCUACCUACAUACAUAUAUACUAACACAUAUAUAUAUAAAUGCAUACAGAUGCACAUGCAUACGCACAAUACGUACGAACGGAAGAAAUAUACACAGGUAAAGAGAGAGAGAGAGAAAA
rnacentral:lncRNA from 1 species